rnacentral:rRNA from 1 species
UGGAAACAGCGGCUAAUACCCGAUAUGCUCACAGGAUCGGGAGAUCGAGUGAGGAAAGGCUUCGGUGCUUGAGGAGGGAUCUGCGGCCCAUCAGCUAGUUGGUGAGGUAACGGCUCACCAAGGCGAAGACGGGUAGGGGGUGUGAGAGCAUGGCCCCCCACAAUGGGACUGAGACACGGCCCAUACUCCUACGGGAGGCAGCAGCGGGGAAUAUUGCGCAAUGGACGGAAGUCAGACGCAGCGACGCCGCGUGGGUGAGGAAGGCCUUCGGGUUGUAAAGCCCUUUUCAGGGGAGCGAGAAAGGACGGUACCCUUGGAAUAAGCGUCGGCUAACUACGUGCCAGCAGCCGCGGUAAGACGUAGGACGCAAGCGUUAUCCGGAUUUACUGGGCGUAAAGCGCCUGUAGGCGGUCAAGUAAGUCGGAUGUGAAAGCCCCGUGCUCAACGCGGGGAAGCCAUUCGAUACUGCGUGACUAGAGAACGGCAGAGGGAAACGGAAUUUCUGGUGUAGCGGUAAAAUGCGCAGAGAUCAGAAAGAACACCGAUGGCGAAGGCAGUUUCCUAGGCCGCAUCUGACGCUGAGAGGCGAAAGCUAGGGGAGCAAACAGGAUUAGAGACCCUGGUAGUCCUAGCUGUAAACGAUGGAUGCUAGGUGUGGGCCGGAAAGGUCCGUGCCGUAGUUAACGCGAUAAGCAUCCCGCCUGGGGAGUACGGCCGCAAGGCUAAAACUCAAACGAAUUGACGGGGACCCGCACAAGCAGCGGAGCGUGUGGUUUAAUUCGAUGCUACACGCAGAACCUUACCUGGGCUUGACAUGUAGGUGGUAGUGAAGUGAAAGCGGAGCGACCCUUCGGGGAGCCUACACAGGUGCUGCAUGGCUGUCGUCAGCUCGUGCCGUGAGGUGUCGGGUUAAGUCCCGUAACGAGCGCAACCCUUGUCCUUAGUUACAAGUGUCUAAGGAGACUGCCGGUGACAAACCGGAGGAAGGUGGGGAUGACGUCAAGUCAGCAUGGCCCUUAUGUCCAGGGCGACACACACGCUACAAUGGUCGGUACAAUGGGCAGCGCAGCCGCGAGGUGAAGCGAAUCCCAACAAAGCCGAUCCCAGUUCGGAUUGCAGGCUGCAACCCGCCUGCAUGAAGCCGGAGUUGCUAGUA